UACGGGGGGGAGCAAGCGUUGUUCGGAUUUACUGGGCGUAAAGGGCGCGUAGGCGGUCAGCACAAGUCAGUUGUGAAAUCUCCGGGCUUAACUCGGAAAGGUCAACUGAUACUGUGCGACUAGAGUGCGGAAGGGGGCAACUGGAAUUCUUGGUGUAGCGGUGAAAUGCGUAGAUAUCAAGAGGAACACCUGCGGCGAAGGCGGGUUGCUGGGCCGACACUGACGCUGAGGCGCGAAAGCUAGGGGAGCAAACAGG
rnacentral:rRNA from 1 species